AAUGAACGCUGGCGGCGUGCUUUACACAUGCAAGUCGAGCGAGGCGGCCCGCAAGGGCCAGUCGAGCGGCGAACGGGUGAGUAACGCGUGGAUUAUCUGCCCUGAGGUGGGGAGUAACCCGGGAAACGUCGGGCGUAAUACCGCAUAUGACCGUGAGGUCGAAAGGGGGUACGGCAAGAUCUCUCGCCAUAGGAGGAGUCCGCGUACGAUUAGUC
rnacentral:rRNA from 1 species